rnacentral:tRNA from 1 species
GGGUAGAUAGUGCAAAUUGGUAAAGCCGCCGCACUGUAAAUGCGGUCUCCCUGAGUUUAGAGGUUCGAGUCCUCUUCUGCCCACCA